rnacentral:tRNA from 1 species
CUCCUCGUAGUUCAAUGGAUAGAACGGGCGCCUCCUAAGCGCCAAAUACAGGUUCGAUUCCUGUCGAGGGGACCA